UAGGAAUAGUAUUUAAGGUCUAAUCUGCCCACUGAUUAUUUUAAUGGCCGCAGUAUUUUAACUGUGCAAAGGUAGCAUAAUCAUUAGUUUUUUAAUUGAAAGCUUGUAUGAAUGGUUGGACGAGAUAUAGUCUGUCUUUAAAUUAGAAUUAGAAUUUAAUUUUUAAGUUAAAAAGCUUAAAUGAAUUUAAAAGACGAGAAGACCCUAUAGAUCUUUAUAAAUAUAAAAAUUUAAUUUUUAAGGAUUAUUAAUUUUUGUAUUUUUUUAUUUAUUUAAUUGGGGUAAUAAAAAGAUUAAAUAAAUUCUUUUUAUUUUAAACGUUGAUAAAUGAUUUUAAUGAUCCAUUAUUAUUGAUUAUAAGAUUAAGUUACCUUAGGGAUAACAGCGUAAUUUUUUUUGAGAGUUCUUAUCGAUAAAAAAGUUUGCGACCUCGAUGUUGGAUUAAAAUAAAUUUUGGGUGUAGAAUUUCAAAAUUUUAGUCUGUUCGACUAUUAGGAUUUUACAUGAUCUGAGUUCAAACCGGUGUAAGCCAGGUUGGUUUCUAUCUUUAAUUAAUUAAUAUAUUUUAGUACGAAAGGACCAAAUAUUUGGUAUGUAAUAUUUUUAAAUUUGAAUAAGA
rnacentral:rRNA from 1 species